rnacentral:rRNA from 1 species
AUGAACAAGAUCAAGGUGCACCCCAACGUCGCUGCUGCUUCUCUGGCACUACCAGCGGCGGAGGAGAAGGGAGAGGCGGUGUCGCUCACCGUGUGGCGCCGGUCGCUGCUGUUCAACGGCAAGGGGUUCACCGUGUUUGACACCAACGGCAACCUCGUGUACCGCGUCGAGACGCACUCCCGCGGCUCGCCCCGCGAGGUCGUCCUCAUGGACGCCCACGGCGUUGCUCUCCUCACCGUCCGCCGCAAGAAGCUGAGUCUGGCGGAGGAGUGGCUCGUCUACGACGGCGACGGCGACGAGCCGGCGCCGAGGCGGUUCACGGCGCGGCGGAACAGGAGCCUGCUCCGGACCAAGUCCCUCGCUCGCCUGUCGCCGCCGCGAUCGUUGGACGGCACUGGGGAUGCGCCUGGCUGCCGGUACGAUGUGGAGGGCUCGUACGCCGGCCGCAGCCUCGACAUGUUAGCCUGCACCGGCGGCAAUCAGCGGCAGCGCGUGGCCACGGUGUGCCGGAAGGAGGCCGCCGUGGGCCUGGACGUGUUCCGGCUGGUGGUGGAGCCAGACUUCGAGCCGGCGCUGGCCAUGGCCGUGGUCAUACUCCUGGAUCAGAUGAACACAUCCUAA